AACACGUAAGGAAUCUACCUAUAAGCGGGGGAUAACAUUCGGAAACGGGUGCUAAUACCGCAUAAUAACUUCUUCCGCAUGGAAGAAGAUUGAAAGACGGCUCUGCUGUCACUUAUAGAUGACCUUGCGGUGCAUUAGUUAGUUGGUGGGGUAAUGGCCUACCAAGACGAUGAUGCAUAGCCGACCUGAGAGGGUGAUCGGCCACAUUGGGACUGAGACACGGCCCAA
rnacentral:rRNA from 1 species